AACGAACGCUGGCGGCAGGCCUAACACAUGCAAGUCGAGCGGACCCUUCGGGGUUAGCGGCGGACGGGUGAGUAACGCGUGGGAAUAUGCCCUUCUCUACGGAAUAGUCCUGGGAAACUGGGGGUAAUACCGUAUACGCCCUUUGGGGGAAAGAUUUAUCGGGGAAGGAUUAGCCCGCGUUGGAUUAGGUAGUUGGUGGGGUAAUGGCCUACCAAGCCGACGAUCCGUAGCUGGUUUGAGAGGAUGAUCAGCCACACUGGGACUGAGACACGGCCCAGAGUCCUACGGGAGGCAGCAGUGGGGAAUCUUAGACAAUGGGGGCAACCCUGAUCUAGCCAUGCCGCGUGAGUGAUGAAGGCCUUAGGGUUGUAAAGCUCUUUCAGCUGGGAAGAUAAUGACGGUACCAGCAGAAGAAGCCCCGGCUAACUCCGUG
rnacentral:rRNA from 1 species